ACAGCCCGACCCGUGGGUUAACUGAAAUGACUGAUACCAACUGUUUUUUGAUAUGUAACUGUGUAGUUAUUGGACAAUUCAGUGCCCUAGGGAUUUGUAUGUGUACCUAUGUGUAUUUAUAUAUUAGUCUGUCGCAUUUACUAGUAAUAUUCUGUAUUCGUUGUGAAAAGACUUUUAUUGUCGUCAUUGUUGUCAUUAACGGAAUUACAUAAUAAAUGCCAAAUUAAAUGAUUCAUCAGCAGGGUGAGCUAAGAAAUGUAAAGUAACGGAUAAUAAGAUACUGUAGAAGUAUUGGUAUAAGUGGUCAGAGCCACUAAUUACGAUCAUUUGGAACAAGAAAUGUAUUAGUAUAGAAAAAGCUUCAUUAUCUUGAGAAACAGCUUUUUAAGUGAUUACCAAGCAAUGUAUUCGUACUUGUUAUUCAUUGUAUAUCCUAUUUUGAAAUUAAUGUACUUUGUAAACACAUUUUGAUUAACUCUCCAAUUGUUUGCAUCACACAAUGUUCAGAUUUUUCGUAUUUCAGGGCGUAUUUGUAACUUACUUGUAUACAGUCUGAUAGAAAGCAGAAUUUGUGAUGUCAUUAAAUGUUAGUAUCUGAAACCGAACUGUAAUUAAUUAAAUAACUCAAAAUUCACAAAAGACAUUAUUGUAAUUAGAACCAUAUCGAUUUUUAAUAUUUAAACCUAGUGAUGACACUACAAAAAUUACGUCAAUUAAUAUUGUUAAUUUUUCCUUAUUCGGAUGUAAUGUCUGUUCGCAAACAUUUUGUACAUUUUAAUUGUAACUUUGAAAUUCUUCAGAAUUAAUAAUGCAAUAUUUUGUGAGUGAUUGUUAAAAUUCUAUAUAAGCAGAGAUGAUGCGAGGUCAGAACCAGUCAGUUGUUUGUGAUGUUUUCGGCUGGAGAGUCUGUACAAGUGACGCCUGUAAAUAAAUAAUGUGAAGUGUGAAGAAUUCUCCGAUUUCUUCAUCUAAAAAUGAACCCCCAAAAGUUAAGUUUAUAAAUAUAAAGCUGCUCGACGAACAAGUAGCUUUAUAAGUGGUGGUGUGAGCUGGGAUUUGAUGAUUGAAAUCGGAACUGUUUUUAAAAAGUAAUUGUUUCAGGUGACCGCAAGACGAACACUAAACAUAAAUUGUGAAGAAAUUUUUGUGUUUAUGGACGCACAGAACGAGUGGAUGUUGCUGCAUGAGAAGAGUUGGUGUGGAAAAGAAAUACAAAGAAAAUCAUCACCUGCAUGGGGAGAUCGUAAAUCAUAACAACUGAUCUGAUGAUAAUGGACCAAAUUCUCGGACUGCACCGCUGGAAUUCAGAUGAUGUAGAGACUGCCAGAAGCAGAGGGGCUGCAGACACAAGAUGGACAGCGCAUUGGGACGGAUGAUUGUGAGCUGCCAAUUCAUUAAGAUAUGCAACAUGCACCAGUGACUGGAGUAACAGCUAAGAAAAAAGAAAUUCUAUUUUGGAGGGUAUUUAGCAGCCAUUCAUACAAGUUACACUUGUAAGAGUGGCUGGGGGGGUGUAUAACAAUACAGCCCGACCCGUGGGUUAACUGAAAUGACUGAUACCAACUGUUUUUUGAUAUGUAACUGUGUAGUUAUUGGACAAUUCAGUGCCCUAGGGAUUUGUAUGUGUACCUAUGUGUAUUUAUAUAUUAGUCUGUCGCAUUUACUAGUAAUAUUCUGUAUUCGUUGUGAAAAGACUUUUAUUGUCGUCAUUGUUGUCAUUAACGGAAUUACAUAAUAAAUGCCAAAUUAAAUGAUUCAUCAGCAGGGUGAGCUAAGAAAUGUAAAGUAACGGAUAAUAAGAUACUGUAGAAGUAUUGGUAUAAGUGGUCAGAGCCACUAAUUACGAUCAUUUGGAACAAGAAAUGUAUUAGUAUAGAAAAAGCUUCAUUAUCUUGAGAAACAGCUUUUUAAGUGAUUACCAAGCAAUGUAUUCGUACUUGUUAUUCAUUGUAUAUCCUAUUUUGAAAUUAAUGUACUUUGUAAACACAUUUUGAUUAACUCUCCAAUUGUUUGCAUCACACAAUGUUCAGAUUUUUCGUAUUUCAGGGCGUAUUUGUAACUUACUUGUAUACAGUCUGAUAGAAAGCAGAAUUUGUGAUGUCAUUAAAUGUUAGUAUCUGAAACCGAACUGUAAUUAAUUAAAUAACUCAAAAUUCACAAAAGACAUUAUUGUAAUUAGAACCAUAUCGAUUUUUAAUAUUUAAACCUAGUGAUGACACUACAAAAAUUACGUCAAUUAAUAUUGUUAAUUUUUCCUUAUUCGGAUGUAAUGUCUGUUCGCAAACAUUUUGUACAUUUUAAUUGUAACUUUGAAAUUCUUCAGAAUUAAUAAUGCAAUAUUUUGUGAGUGAUUGUUAAAAUUCUAUAUAAGCAGAGAUGAUGCGAGGUCAGAGUCAGUCAGUUGUUUGUGAUGUUUUCGGCUGGAGAGUCUGUACAAGUGACGCCUGUAAAUAAAUAAUGUGAAGUGUGAAGAA